CCUGGCGACCAUGGAGAGGUGGUCACACCCGUUCCCAUUCCGAACACGGAAGUUAAGCACCUCAUCGGCGAUGAUACUGCAGAGUUGUCUGUGGGAAAGUAGCCCGUCGCCAGGA
rnacentral:rRNA from 1 species